AGAGUUUGAUCAUGGCUCAGAUUGAACGCUGGCGGCAGGCCUAACACAUGCAAGUCGAGCGGUAGCACAGAGAGCUUGCUCUCGGGUGACGAGCGGCGGACGGGUGAGUAAUGUCUGGGAAACUGCCUGAUGGAGGGGGAUAACUACUGGAAACGGUAGCUAAUACCGCAUAACGUCGCAAGACCAAAGUGGGGGACCUUCGGGCCUCAUGCCAUCAGAUGUGCCCAGAUGGGAUUAGCUAGUAGGUGGGGUAAUGGCUCACCUAGGCGACGAUCCCUAGCUGGUCUGAGAGGAUGACCAGCCACACUGGAACUGAGACACGGUCCAGACUCCUACGGGAGGCAGCAGUGGGGAAUAUUGCACAAUGGGCGCAAGCCUGAUGCAGCCAUGCCGCGUGUAUGAAGAAGGCCUUCGGGUUGUAAAGUACUUUCAGCGAGGAGGAAGGCGUUAAGGUUAAUAACCUUGGCGAUUGACGUUACUCGCAGAAGAAGCACCGGCUAACUCCGUGCCAGCAGCCGCGGUAAUACGGAGGGUGCAAGCGUUAAUCGGAAUUACUGGGCGUAAAGCGCACGCAGGCGGUCUGUCAAGUCGGAUGUGAAAUCCCCGGGCUCAACCUGGGAACUGCAUUCGAAACUGGCAGGCUAGAGUCUUGUAGAGGGGGGUAGAAUUCCAGGUGUAGCGGUGAAAUGCGUAGAGAUCUGGAGGAAUACCGGUGGCGAAGGCGGCCCCCUGGACAAAGACUGACGCUCAGGUGCGAAAGCGUGGGGAGCAAACAGGAUUAGAUACCCUGGUAGUCCACGCCGUAAACGAUGUCGACUUGGAGGUUGUGCCCUUGAGGCGUGGCUUCCGGAGCUAACGCGUUAAGUCGACCGCCUGGGGAGUACGGCCGCAAGGUUAAAACUCAAAUGAAUUGACGGGGGCCCGCACAAGCGGUGGAGCAUGUGGUUUAAUUCGAUGCAACGCGAAGAACCUUACCUACUCUUGACAUCCAGAGAACUUAGCAGAGAUGCUUUGGUGCCUUCGGGAACUCUGAGACAGGUGCUGCAUGGCUGUCGUCAGCUCGUGUUGUGAAAUGUUGGGUUAAGUCCCGCAACGAGCGCAACCCUUAUCCUUUGUUGCCAGCGGUCCGGCCGGGAACUCAAAGGAGACUGCCAGUGAUAAACUGGAGGAAGGUGGGGAUGACGUCAAGUCAUCAUGGCCCUUACGAGUAGGGCUACACACGUGCUACAAUGGCAUAUACAAAGAGAAGCGACCUCGCGAGAGCAAGCGGACCUCAUAAAGUAUGUCGUAGUCCGGAUUGGAGUCUGCAACUCGACUCCAUGAAGUCGGAAUCGCUAGUAAUCGUAGAUCAGAAUGCUACGGUGAAUACGUUCCCGGGCCUUGUACACACCGCCCGUCACACCAUGGGAGUGGGUUGCAAAAGAAGUAGGUAGCUUAACCUU
rnacentral:rRNA from 1 species